AUGUGGCUGUGCUGGCGGCCGCUGGAGGAGCAGGGAUGGCGGCCGCUGGAGGAGCAGGGAUGGCGGCCACUGGAGGAGCUGUUCUGGCGGCCGCAGGGGAAGCUGUGCUCAUUCAGUAGUGCGCAAGGGCGGUGGAGCAGAGACAGCACAGCUUCCCCUGCGGCCGCCAGAACAGCUCCUGCAGCGGCCGCCAUCCCUGCUCCUCCAGCGGCCGCCAUCCCUGCUCCUCCAGCAGCCACCAUCA